rnacentral:rRNA from 1 species
CUCGACGACAUCUUGGUUUACAGUGCCUUGUGGCCUGAACAUUUACAGCACCCGCGUAUAGUGUUGGAAACAUUGCGUCAGACUCAUUUCUUUGCCAAAAUGUCAAAGUGCUCUUUUGGACAGACUCGGAUUCAGUAUUUGGAAUAUAUUAUCUCAGCUCAAGGUGUUGCAACUGAUCAAGAAAACAUUGGCAAUGGAACAGUGGCCCUUAACAACUUCGGCUACUGA